rnacentral:miRNA from 1 species
GUGAAGCAGAGACCCUCUCACUCCCUCUCUCUUCUCUCUCUCUCUCUCUCUCAAGGUUUGCUGAAAAGACUGCCGCUUGAGAGGAGCUUAUGAAGGAAAUGAGCGGCUCUUUUUAGGGUAAAGUGAGUAUGAGAGAGAGAGAGAGAGAGAGAGAGAUUGAGAAAAUAUACACAG